CUAAAUCAGAAAGCAUGAAUAUAGUACAGAUGGUGGCUUAUUUUUGGCUCCAACUGGAAGAGAGAGAGAUUAUAAAAUCACCUCACAAUUUCUUUGUUAGCAACAUUUUUCCUGAAAGGAAAUGCACCUAAUCAUCAGUAACUUAAUGGCCAACAUUAAUUCAACAAAGACUGGUUUCACCUUCACCAACAUAAGAUGAAUUUGUUUGUGCAAUAUCGAGCAUUUUGACAAGAUAUUAUGGUCAGCCAUCAUUAUACAUAACAGAGGAGGAAGAUUAUCUGAAUGGAGAAAUUCCGUGAUAACUGGCGGAAGUUUUAUUCCUUGAGAUAUUCUAAAAACUUCAUAAAGGGGGAAAAGUAACAAAACCACAUGGAAUUGUUGAGAGGAAUGAACAAGAGAGUACAUGUAAAUUCCUAGUCCAGAG